CAGAUCACGUAGGGUGCUAGUCGUUGAACAAACGAACCGUUGACAGCUACUGCACCGUCGGGGUACCCUGAUCCAACAUCGAGGUCGUAGAUCUUCUUGUUGAUAUGGACUCUUUGAGAAGGUGGCGCUGUUAUCCCCGGGGUAGCUUAUUUCGUUAAUCAGUGUUACUGGAUCGGGGAAAAGAGACUUGUGGGUCUGAUUGUUUGAUGAGGUUAAUUUUUUCUAAAGUUGUCCCAACUGAAACUAUUAUUUAUUUGUGUAAGUAAUUUGUUAAAGUUCCACGGGGUCUUUUUGUCUUGCUUUUUCAUAUCAGCUUUUGUACUGAUUAUUCAAUUUCGUUGGCGGCUCCUAGGAGACAGGUCUUCUCUCAUGGUGCCUUUCAUACGGGUCCUCAUUUAAGGGACAAGUGAUUGUGCUACCUUUGCACGGUUUUGUGCCGCGGCCGUUUAGAUGAUUCCACAGGGCAGGCGUGACUUCUAAUACAUGUUUGGCUAGAAGCUAUGUUUUU
rnacentral:rRNA from 1 species